ACUGUUCAUUCUACUUUCGGUUUUGCUCUUAGAUAGAGACACAUCGUCAAAGGCAGGUAUGAACUGUAUUGAUCAAGCUGUGAGAUAUAAAGGUUGGGCUUAAAGCAAAUAGGAGGGGUUUGGUUUUCACAGCUUUUGAAUUUUUGAUUUGUUGUAGCGUUUUGGAUUGUGAAUUUGGGUUUGUUUUGUGAAUAGGAGAGAUCCAAGAUUGUGGUAGCAUUUUGUUUUGUGAAUUUCGAUUUGGUUUCUAUCAGAACGAUUGGCAAGGGUGAAAAUUUGGGUUGUGAUUUUGUUUUUGAAAUUUGAUGUGUUUUUGAUUGAAUUGUUCAUAGGUUGAAUUUGCUUUCUUUAUUUUUAUAGUGUGCGCUAAGUCUAGAGGUUGUACGUAUUGAAGGGUGGUGAUUUAUCUGGGGACACCUACUGAAACUGGCAUAGCAGAUUAUUUACAAGCUCCAUUUGCUUUUGAUGAAGCUAACAGUUCAGCUAAUCUCUACUCUCUAGCUUGGUGCCCACUACUCCUCAAAUAAUCUAUUUCAGCAUUUUAGGUAUCUGAUGCAACAUGUGCCCCUUUCAGUUAAUUUGAUUAUGAUGCAGCCCAAUUUAAGUUUUUAUGAAAGUCAUCAAAAAUACUCUUCAGAGCAAUUGAUUCCCUUCUUCAAAACAACCAAAAUCUAAGGAAAUGCUUAAAUAUUUUGACAUAGCUAUUUAUUCUCACCGAAUUCUGCUCGGGUUCCAAGUUAUCAGAAGAAGAGGCAGAGAAUAGAAAGAAGCACAAUCUGAUCCAGUGCUUGAGAGUCAAUCUAUACGUGGCAAAAGGGCUCAAAUGCCCAUGGGUUGAGAUGUCCAGUCCUUUAGAGUUUUUGUGGCAACCUGGAAUGUAGGGGGAAACCUCCCCAUGGUGGCCUUAAUCUGGACAAUUUUCUUCAGGUUAAUAAUCCAUCAGACAUUAAUGUCUUGGGCUGAUUUCGAUAAGAUUACACAAGGUAGUUUUCGAGCUGUUUACUAUGCCGAGCUGACAAAUGAGGUUUGCUUCUUUUACUAUUUUUUAUUUUACUUGCUGAGUUUUUUUUAUUAUCGUUUGUUUCUGGGUUUCGAUGGGUACAUUUGUUUUCCACCUACUCUUGAUAUAUAAUUGUGCAUACCUGCUAUGAGUGUCAAGAGCAAAAUAUUUAUCUCAGAUAUACUGCAUGUAUAUCAACAAUGGAAACUUGAAGCAGUGACUUCAUGGAGUCUUGCUCAAUUACAUAACGCCAUUGAACCAAAGUUGAUACAUCGAGACAAUAAGUGGAGGCUUCUUCUUGGCCACUAAGCACUUUGUAAAGUAAUAUACCAUUUAGGGAUGAGAGAGCAGUUACUGACAUUGUUUUGCCAAAUCAAGUCUGACUGAUAAGAAAAUUGAAUUCAAGAGGGGAGUUGCCUCCAGGUGAGGUACUGCUAAUGCCGCUGGAUGCAACUGUUGGACAGCAAAACAAGAAGCUGAGUGUCCAGAGGGAUGCAUAUUGGAUCACAGAACAAUUUGUGUUGAUGGAAAUCAAAGGCUUGGAGGAAUCAGAUGAUAUGGAAGUACUUUGUAGAGCAAUUCAAUUGCGAACAGUUUCCGUCUCUUCGCAAAAAUACUAUUCCAAUUGAUGUUAUAUAUGGUAUUUUAUCAAUUUGAUCAAUAAUAAAGUCAUUUUCAAUUAUAUCUUUCAUUAUUGUAAAUUAUUACCAACAACA